rnacentral:rRNA from 1 species
UACGGGGGGGGUAAGCGUUGUUCGGAAUUACUGGGCGUAAAGGGCGCGUAGGCGGCCAUCUAAGUCAGACGUGAAAUCCCCCGGCUUAACCUGGGAACUGCGUCUGAUACUGGACGGCUCGAGUUUGGGAGAGGGAUGCAGAAUUCCAGGUGUAGCGGUGAAAUGCGUAGAUAUCUGGAGGAAUACCGGUGGCGAAGGCGGCAUCCUGGACUAAUACUGACGCUGAGGCGCGAAAGCUAGGGGAGCAAACGGG